GGGCAGGCCAUGGGGACCUUCUGCAGGCCUGGGGCCAAGGCGGGCCCCGGCGGGGACAGAGCAGAAGGGGCAGACGCUGGCGGAACAUGCACAGCACCUGGAGACCAGGUCCGGUCUCCAGGGAAGUGGAGGAGAGGGCCAGUGACCACGAAGGCCGGGCCCAGGUCGGGCUGACAGGAUGAGAAAGCUGUGACAUGGUCCGGAGUGAUGAGAGAAGCACAGGAGAGGACGUCCGGCCUUCCUGGCAGCUGGCUGCGGGACAUGCUGCCGCACUUCCAGGGUUCCAGAACUUUUACUGUGGAGUCCACACCACCGGCUCUUAGGAUUCCAGAACUCUCUUUGACAAGAAACGGUGCUACCCAGCUCAAGUCUGGGCCUGGAACUCCGCUCUCACGCAUCCAUUCCGAACCGCAACUCCACCCCAACCUCCGCUGACUCCAUAGUUGAAGACAAGGAAUCCUGGGAGCCACCUGCAGCAGCACCGCCCACCAGCGCCUCCAACCCCGCGGCCACCACCCUGCCCUGGACAAGCGGCUCGUGGUCCGGCACGACGCCACCCCCUCCCCUCUCUUCUGUCGUUCUUUCUCUCUCUCUCUCCUCACCCCUCUCCAGUUCCCCACUUUUCUUCCUUCCUCUCUUUGCGCAGGAGACCCCCCCUCCGGACUCCGUCUCCCCCCAACAUUAUUUGCACUAAGUCGUUUGCACUGGUCCGGAGUCCGGGAGAACAGUCCUCUGCGCGUGUGCCUGUCACCCCAGGGCCCCCUGGCGGCCUUCCCCCACCUUGGGGAGCCGGGGGGUCGUGUGUUUGGGCCCCGCCCGCCCUCCUCGCCUGGAAAGCUCCACGAGACCGGAGCAAAGGCACACAUUCCAUUGUUCUCGCUCGUGCCCCUCCCCCGCCGGCUUCACCAGAAGUCGGCCAUCAAUAAACACAGUUACAGCAGCUCAGGGA